GGGUUCAUGGCCUAAUGGUAAGGCGUCAGAUUUCGGUUCUAAUGCUAGAUAACUGUCCUCUGAAGAUUGCAGGUUCGAUCCCUGCUGAGCUCG